ACUUUUAUUUCAAUUUCUUUGUCAAUUGAGAAUAUCCAUAAGACACAGUUCUUCUCUUCCUUCAGUCACUGUGCCCCUCCUGAGAAUGCCUUGUAAGUUGUUCAAUUUCAGGAGCUACGUGGAAGGCAAUUGACUGUCAGUUAAAAAUUUGAAUGUAGGUGUAUGACCUUGACCUGGGUCUUGUGCGCUUGUUUGGUGUGAUACUUUUCUACACAGAGAAAAGUACAUUUGCAAAAUCUUAACGGAUUAAAUGACUCAGUGGAGUGCAAAUAAGAACCUUCAAUCUACAGUUCACUGAAAACAAAAACUGGAUGGAAUAGAGUGCAUUUUUGCUUUGUUUCAUGCUAUUUUCUUGUAUCUGUGUGAUUUAUAGUUGAAAUCCUAAAUUAUCCUUUUUCCCAUACUCUUUCCCCCU
rnacentral:lncRNA from 1 species